rnacentral:rRNA from 1 species
AGUGAACGCUGGCGGCGUGCUUAACACAUGCAAGUCGAACGAGAACGGGUUAUAGCUUGCUAUAAUUGUCAGCUAAGUGGCGCACGGGUGAGUAAUGUAUAGGUAAUAUGCCUCUUACUAAGGGAUAACAAUGGAAACGUUUGCUAAUACCUUAUACUCCUUAUUAACAGAAGUUAAUAAGGGAAAUAUUUAUUGGUAAGAGAUUAGCCUGUAUUGUAUCAGUUAGUUGGUGGGGUAAUGGCUUACCAAGACUAUGACACAUAACUGGUUUGAGAGGAUGAUCAGUCACACUGGAACUGAGACACGGUCCAGGCUCCUACGGGAGGCAGCAGUGGGGAAUAUUGCACAAUGGACGAAAGUCUGAUGCAGCAACGCCGCGUGGAGGAUGACACAUUUCGGUGCGUAAACUCCUUUUAUAUGAGAAGAUAAUGACGGUAUUAUAUGAAUAAGCACCGGCUAACUCCGUGCCAGCCGCCGCAGUAA